AACAACUCUCAGCAACGGAUAUCUUGGCUCUUGCAACGAUGAAGAACGCAACA
rnacentral:rRNA from 2 species